AUUAUUGAAAUAAACCUGAUGGGUUGCUGCUGGCUCUCUCGGGAGCAUGUGCACACUUGUCAUCUUUAUAUCUCCACCUGUGCACCUUUUGUAGAUCUGGAUAUCCUUCUGAAUGCAUAUCAUUCGGGUUUGGRGAUUGACUUUUUGUCUUUCCUUACAUUUCCAGACCUAUGUUUUCUUCAUAUACACCAUGUAUGUUAAAGAAUGUAAUGAAAAGGGCCUUUGUGCCUACAAACCUAUACAACUUUCAGCAACGGAUCUCUUGGCUCUCGCAUCGAUGAAGAACGCAGCGAAAUGCGAUAAGUAAUGUGAAUUGCAGAAUUCAGUGAAUCAUCGAAUCUUUGAACGCACCUUGCGCUCCUUGGUAUUCCGAGGAGCAUGCCUGUUUGAGUGUCAUUAAUAUAUCAACCUCCUCAGGUUUCACUUGUUGAGUGUUUGGAUGUGGGGGUAUCUUUUGCUGGUCUCUAUUGAGGUCGGCUCCCCUGAAAUGCAUUAGCGGAACAUUUUGUUGACCGUUCAUUGGUGUGAUAACUAUCUACGCUAUUGACGUGAAGCAGGUUCAGCUUCUAACAGUCCAUUGACUUGGACAAAAUUUCAUUAAUGUGACCUCAAAUCAGGUAGGACUACCCGCUGAACUUAAGCAUAUCAAUAAGCGGAGGAA
rnacentral:rRNA from 1 species